rnacentral:rRNA from 1 species
UACGUAGGGUGCGAGCGUUGUCCGGAAUUAUUGGGCGUAAAGAGCUCGUAGGCGGUUUGUCGCGUCGACUGUGAAAACCCGAGGCUUAACCUCGGGCCUGCAGUCGAUACGGGCAGACUAGAGUUCGGUAGGGGAGACUGGAAUUCCUGGUGUAGCGGUGAAAUGCGCAGAUAUCAGGAGGAACACCGGUGGCGAAGGCGGGUCUCUGGGCAGUAACUGACGCUGGAGGAGCGAAAGCGUGGGGAGCGAACAGG